AUGAAAAUUGAUAUAUCCAAAGCCUUCGAUACUCUCUCCUGGGGGUUUCUGUUGCCAGUGUUAAAGGCCAGAGGUUUUGGGGACAGGUGGUGCUCGUGGAUUUGUGGUUUGCUGAGAUCUUCCUCUUCUUUUGUGCUUAUCAAUGGGGAGCUCAGCGACUCAUUUUCUCUGGGCCAGGGUGUUCGUCAAGGGGACCCACUGUCCCCGGCUCUGUUUAUUCUUGCCAUGGAUGUGCUUCAAGGAAUGCUUCGCUGGGCUGACCAGCGGAGGGUACUGUCGGACUUCGGUUUGGGCUCUGAGGUGCCCAGGGCCUCCAUUUUUGCUGAUGAUGCGGUACUCUUCUUCAAGCCACGCACAAACGACCUACAGGCAAUUUCUGCCAUCCUCCAACUCUUCGGACAAGCUUCUGGUCUGCACAUCAAUCUUCAGAAAAGCUCUGCCACAUGCAUUCGUUGUGACGAGGCGGUCGUUUCCAUGGUGGCGGAGCAUUUUCAGUGUCAGCAGCAAUCUUUCCCGAUCAAGUAUCCCGGGCUGCCCCUUUCGGUCUUUCGUUUGAGGCGUCAAGAUGUUUUGCCCUUGGUGGACAAGUACUCGAGCAAGAUGAAAGGGUGGAAGCCCAAAUUGCUGCCGGCAACGGGACGACUGACGCUGGUCAACUCGGUACUUAUGGCACUGCCGAUUCAUUUCAUGGUUGUUCUUCCCUUGCUGAGUUGGGCCAUCAAAAUUUUAAACAGAAGAUGUCGAGCUUUUAUCGGGAAGGGGGAGGAAGACAUCAACGGAGGGCACUGCCUGUUGCCUUGGGCACAAGUUUGUUCCCCCAAAGAGGGUGGUCUUGGCGUACUUAAUCUGAAGUGGUUUGGCUAG
rnacentral:rRNA from 1 species